rnacentral:lncRNA from 1 species
AUCACUCAAAUGGCCCUCCAGCCUAUUACUUCUCAAUCGGACUUUUAUCAUGGACCACUCGAUAGACCCGAUUUUUAAAGGGGGACUCCAAACUGCUUGCCCCACACCAUCCCUUUUCAGCCUGAAGAAGCCAGAAAGAUCUUCUUCACCCCCCUUCCUUACAGCAGUAAGGAGUUCCCAAAUUAGAGGGGGGAAUGAAGCCAGAUUUGAAGUUAGGUAGUCAGUGUAGUUAGGUAAAUCGGGUCUAAUGCCGAGUGAAAUCUAAAAUGGAGGCCAUGCUGAAAAUGAUUCCAGGAAACGCA